rnacentral:sRNA from 1 species
GAGCUCAAAUAUCAAUCUUCUAAUGGAGGUACUAAAUGAUAAAGAUAUUAGUAUGUUUAGAUGAUGAGAAUGCAAACAGUCUACACAAACAACAUAAAUAGAACACAAAACUCACUUUGUGUCUGCUGGUUGAAUUCUAAAUCGUGACCUGAGAGAUUGGAUUACGCUCUGUGACGGUUCCUCCUCAGAGAAUAUUUAGAAACCCU